AAUAGAGGAGCGUUCGAUUAUCAGUAGGCUGUGUGAGGCGCCGCGCCAAUGAGCACAGCGGAAAGGAAUCAACGCCGAAGGAGGAAGUCCCACGGCAGGACGACCGCCUGGCUGCAGGGUGAAUAACUGUGCGGCUGUCAUCAUACACUAUGGUGGAGUGCUAUUCG
rnacentral:ncRNA from 1 species